GCAUUUGAAUUCAAAUUUGAUUUGAAUUCAAGUGAGCAACCACCUAACUUUAUCCUCUCAUGCGAUGAAAAUACUGUAAAAAUAUGGUCUUACACCAUUUUAAAAAGAAAGAGAAGAUGGGGCAUGCGAACAUCUGAUCCUAGAGAGAAAGGGUGGUGUUGGUGCAAAAAUCUGCCUGCACCGGAGAAGCUGGAGUCGAG
rnacentral:lncRNA from 1 species